rnacentral:rRNA from 1 species
CGGAAUUACUGGGCGUAAAGGGCGCGUAGGCGGCCUGCUAAGUCACACGUGAAAUCCCUCGGCUCAACCGGGGAACUGCGUGUGAUACUGGCGGGCUUGAAUUCGGGAGAGGGAUGUGGAAUUCCAGGUGUAGCGGUGAAAUGCGUAGAUAUCUGGAGGAACACCGGUGGCGAAGGCGGCAUCCUGGACCGAGAUUGACGCUGAGGCGCGAAAGCUAGGGGAGCAAACGGG